UCUUAGGGGUGCUAGGGUUCCGGUUCAUCGAGCGUCUGGUCCGAGAGCAGCCCGGCGCGGGUUCAUCCGUUCGCGAGACCGGAUGCGCACGCGCUACACGGCGGGACAAAAGCCCGGGAGAU
rnacentral:sRNA from 2 species